UACAGAGGUCCCAAGCGUUGUUCGGAAUUACUGGGCGUAAAGCGUGCGUAGGCGGCGGGGUAAGUCGGGUGUGAAAUCUCGGGGCUCAACUCCGAAAUUGCAUUCGAUACUACUCUGCUUGAGCUCUGAAGAGGAGGUUGGAAUUUACGGUGUAGCAGUGAAAUGCGUAGAUAUCGUAAGGAAGGCCGGUGGCGAAAGCGAACCUCUGGGCAGCAGCUGACGCUGUGGCACGAAGGCUAGGGGAGCAAACGGG
rnacentral:rRNA from 1 species